UACGUAGGCAGCGAGCGUUGUUCGGAGUUACUGGGCGUAAAGAGUGCGUAGGCGGUUUUCUAAGUUUGGUGUGAAAUCUCCCGGCUUAACUGGGAGGGUGCGCCGAAAACUGGAAGGCUAGAGUGCGGGAUGGGUAAGUGGAAUUCCUGGUGUAGCGGUGAAAUGCGUAGAUAUCAGGAGGAACACCUGUGGUGUAGACGGCUUACUGGACCG
rnacentral:rRNA from 1 species